CCCCCUAGCGGUCGGGAGGGCGCACACCGCGUCUCCCCCCUGAGUGGGUCAGAAAGAGCGCCUCCCUUCUGGGCGAGAGGCUUUUGGCUGCGUCCCUCGGGAGGAGGCGGGGCUUAGGGUCCGAUCUGCGGAGGUUCUCACCCCUGCAGACUUGGGCAAUUCGGCGGGAAGCUUUAAAACAGUGCCAGGCCUCACCGCAGACUUUGGGAUUUAAUUCCUCCGGAGUGAGCACCGGCUGUGGUUCAAGCUUUCCUCGUGAUUCGGAAGUUGCAGGCUGAGAAGAGAAUCAAAGUGGUAGAGUUUGGAUCCAGUGUUUAAGGAGCCUCCAGCCUGUGCCAGCUGUGUUAUCGCCUGGCCUUGUGCUGCUCAAGCCCUCAAAAAAGCAGAAGAGAAGCGGAGGGAGGUACUCCCGUUGGAAAUGCUCAGUCGGCCGGCCGUCAUCACUUGGGAGUCAUCAUGGAAACAAAACCCAAAUCACAAAUGCAUACUUCCAGCUGUUCUUGUCAAAAUAUGCAAAGUAACAGGAAGUCUGGGCUCAGAACUCUCCUGGGCUUCUGUUAAGGGUUAAAGUCAAGUGCCCAAGUAAAGUAUGACCAGGGUGCUGCUGAGCAUUAGGCAUCUCUCUGAAUGGAGUGUUAUCAUGGAUUAACAUAAUGUUUAUUUAUGACUGGCAGUAGACCUGCAUUUGAAUUUUGGUUCUGUCGUCC